rnacentral:rRNA from 1 species
AAUGAACGUUGGCGGCGUGGAUUAGGCAUGCAAGUCGAGCGCGAAUUCCCCGCAAGGGGGAGGAGAGCGGCAAACGGGGUAGUAACGGGUAGGUGACGUACCCUCGGGUCGGGGAUAGCCACGGGAAACUGUGGGUAAUACCCGAUAACCUCCGGAAGCGUCAGGCUUCGGGAGCAAAGGUGUGAUUCCACCGGAGGAGCGGCCUGCUUCGUAUUAGCUGGUUGGUAGGGUAACGGCCUACCAAGGCAUCGAUGCGUAGGGGGUGUGAGAGCAUGACCCCCACCCA